UUGAGCUGUAUGAGAUGAAAUUCUCAUAUACGGUUCUCGGGGGAGGGGGGGGAGGGGUCCUCUUGGUUUACCUAUCUCAAU
rfam:Gossypium arboreum cultivar AKA8401 contig_19421_3, whole genome shotgun sequence.